rnacentral:tRNA from 1 species
GAAUCAUUAGCUCAGUUGGUUAGAGCAGACGGCUCAUAACCGUCCGGUCGCUGGUUUGAGUCCAGCAUGAUUCA